rnacentral:rRNA from 1 species
GGACUACAGGGGUUUCUAAUCCUGUUCGCUCCCCACGCUUUCGCGUCUCAGCGUCAAUACCGUCCCAGAGAGCCGCCUUCGCCACGGGUGUUCUUCCUGAUAUCUGCGCAUUCCACCGCUACACCAGGAAUUCCGCUCUCCUCUUCCGGAUUCUAGCCAGGUAGUUUCUCACGACAGCUUGCGGUUGAGCCGCAAGAUUUCACGCGAGACUUACCAAGCCGCCUACACGCUCUUUACGCCCAAUGAUUCCGGACAACGCUUGCCCCCUACGUAUUACCGCGGCUGCUGGCAC